UGUUCAAGAUGUCAAAGCGAGGACGUGGUAGGUCCUCUGGUGUGAAAUUCCAGAUUUCCUUGGGUCUUCCAGUAGGAGCUGUGAUCAACUGUGCUGAUAACACAGGAGCCAAAAACCUGUAUAUCAUCUCUGUGAAGGCGAUCAAGGGAUGGCUGAACAGACUUUCCGCUGCUGGUGUCGGUGACAUGGUGAUGGCCACAGUCAAGAAAGGCAAACCAGAGCUCAGAAAAAUGGUACAUCCAGCAGCGGUCAUUCGACAAUGAAAGUCAUACCGGAGAAAAGAUGGAAAGUGUUUAUUUCAAAGAUAAUGCAGGGGUCAUAGUGAGUAAUAAAGGCGAAAUGAAAGGUUCUGCCAUUACAGGACCAGUAGCAAAGGAGAGUGCAGACUUGUGGCCCCUGAUUGUGCAUUGCGUGAUUCUCCAGUAUAUUAAAAAAAAAAAGAAAAAGAAAAAAAGAAAAAGAAAAACUUUAAAGCCGUUAAAAAAAAGCCAUUAAAAAGUAUUUGUCCCCCCACAAAAAAAAUACAUCUUAAUAACAGUUGAAGGUAAAGUACCACCAAGUUUAAUAAAGAUUAAUUAAUGCUGAGUUUUAUCAGCAUUUUUUAUGACUGUCACUGGAUUUCACUAUAUUUCUUAUCUUGGUAAAGUAUAUCUGAAAGUAGAAUAAAGGGGAAAUCCUAUCUGUGA